rnacentral:rRNA from 1 species
AUUGAACGCUGGCGGAAUGCUUUACACAUGCAAGUCGAACGGCAGCACGGACUUCGGUCUGGUGGCGAGUGGCGAACGGGUGAGUAAUGUAUCGGAACGUGCCCAGUCGUGGGGGAUAACGUAGUGAAAAUUACGCUAAUACCGCAUACGAUCUAUGGAUGAAAGCGGGGGAUCGCAAGACCUCGCGCGAUUGGAGCGGCCGAUAUCAGAUUAGGUAGUUGGGGGGGUAAAGGCCCACCAAGCCAACGAUCUGUAGCUGGUCUGAGAGGACGACCAGCCACACUGGAACUGAGACACGGUCCAGACUCCUACGGGAGGCAGCAGUGGGGAAUUUUGGACAAUGGGCGAAAGCCUGAUCCAGCCAUUCCGCGUGCAGGAUGAUGGCCCUCGGGUUGUAAACUGCUUUUGUACAGAACGAAAAGGUUUCUACUAAUACUAGGAGCUCAUGACGGUACUGUAAGAAUAAGCACCGGCUAACUACGUGCCAGCAGCCGCAGUAA